UACGUAGGGUGCAAGCGUUGUCCGGAUUUAUUGGGCGUAAAGAGCUCGUAGGCGGCUUGGCAAGUCGGGUGUGAAAACUUCAGGCUCAACCUGGAGAUGCCACUCGAUACUGCCAUGGCUUGAGUCUGGUAGGGGAGCACGGAAUUCCUGGUGUAGCGGUGAAAUGCGCAGAUAUCAGGGAGGAACACCGGUGGCGAAGGCGGUGCU
rnacentral:rRNA from 1 species